rnacentral:lncRNA from 1 species
ACUGUCUACACCUUUCGGACGAAUUCUACUAAAAAUAUAGUAUCACAAUAAGAAUAUUUGAUUAAAGCCUAUAUUCAAGAAAAGCAAUGCUUUCUAAAAAGGUUUACUACACUACUGUACUUUUUCUGCUGCAUGUAUGGUUUAUGCCUGUUAUUAAUUCAAUUUUACGCGAUUCUAUCAGUGAUAAUAUAAAU